AUUGAACGCUGGCGGCGGGCCUAACACAUGCAAGUCGAGCGAGCGGCGGAAGGGUGAGUAAUGUCUGGGAAACUGACUGAUGGAGGGGGAUAACUACUGGAAACGGUAGCUAAUACCGCAUACCAUCAGAUGUGCGCAGAUGGGAUUAGCUAGUAGGUGGGGUAACGGCUCACCUAGGCGACGAUCCCUAGCUGGUCUGAGAGGAUUACCAGCCACACGGGAACUGAGUAACGUUCCAGCCUCCUACGGGAGGCAGCAGUGGGGAAUAUUGCACAAUGGGCGCAAGCCUGAUGCAGCCAUGCCGCGUGUAUGAAGAAGGCCUUCGGGUUGUAAAGUACUUUCAGCGGGGAGGCGUUACCCGCAGAAGAAGCACCGGCUAACUCCGUGCCAGCAGCCGCGGUAAUUC
rnacentral:rRNA from 1 species